rnacentral:lncRNA from 1 species
AACAAACCACCCUUUCAGAAUUCUCUCCCUUCUCUCUCUUCGAUACUGUUCACCGCCUCCUUUCUUCUUCAAAUCCAUGGCUUCCAUGGAUAUUAACAUGGUAUCAGAGCGGGUCAUUCGACUCUUCUCGUCAAGAGCUAUCAUCCGGUACUAGCCUCGUCGUCUAUCGUUCAAGUUUUCACCAGUUUUCACAAACUAGGGUUUUCUUCGUUUUUCUUCGCAGUCGGUUAGUAUCUCUUCUUCGAUUCAUCAAUUUUGA